UGGGGAAUAUUGCACAAUGGGGGAAACCCUGAUGCAGCGACGCCGCGUGAGCGAAGAAGUACUUCGGUAUGUAAAAGCUCUGUCAGCAGGGAAGAUAAUGACGGUACCUGACCAAGAAGCCCCGGCUAACUACGUGCC
rnacentral:rRNA from 1 species